AAUUAAAAAUUCAAUCUAUUUCUACUGUUAAAAACUGGUGCGGCCGAUAAAAUAGUUUAAAAGUUACACGUAUAUGGACCAAUUUUUAACAAUAAAAAUAGAUUAAUUUUUUAACA
rnacentral:pre_miRNA from 1 species